GUCUCACUUUCUAUCAAGUUCUGGGAACAUUCAGAGGACAAACAAUUUUCCACUUUUCCCUUCAAGGUUAAAAGGAAAUGUUAAGCAAAAUUUUUGGAAUAGAGAAGCAGCAGCAACCUCUUCCCACACCUGCAGUGCCCAAACCUGCAGUGCUCCUUUCACUGGAGACCAAGUUUCAGGAGCUUCAUUUAUUGAGGAACUUGCGAUAACUCUUCUGGAACUCAAUUUUAUCCUGACAUCCUAUUCAUCUCCCUGCUUAUUUCUCCAUCACUGACCCUGAUCUUAUUAGAAAACCUCAGAGAAUGUCACAAAUGGCAGGAGAGUUUUUCUAAAUGGCAGUGGACGUGACCAAUGAGGGACUAAAGAAAAGAAAAUGGAAAGAGAAGAAACAGAGAAGGACUUCAAGAAUUGGAAAGAAUUCUCUUUCUAAAAACUCUGUGAGAACUCUGCUGAUGGAAGCUCCACCUGAAACCUGUUCUCUGAGAUAAGAAUCUUCAUCCCAUUCAUCGUUUUGAGAAAAGAAAUCUUACUGCAAAGCAGCAUUUUUGUCUGCUUUGGUUUUAGUCUGAGAUAAACCAAGCCUACUGAAAACCUAAUUAAUAUCAGUCACCUGGAAAGGCAAAAUUGGGAGGCAACGAGCUCUUAUUUCUUGAUAAACAGAUUACUGGUGAUGGGGAUGCGUGCAGAUGUGACAAUUCAGGCAGCUGUGGAAGUAAGAGAAAUGACACAUUCACAGUCAGAGCAUAUGAAAGGGACAAGCAAAUCUCUCUAGGUUCUGUCCAUGGUAGCUUGGCUUUGAGUUUUGCUUUGAAUUACAAAUCCAGCAAAAAAUCACAACAUGCUCAGACCCUAAAACUGAAAGCUAUCCCCUGGCUCAGUUAAUUCACCCCAACUUCUAAUGACUUUCCAUUGUUGUUUGCAGAAUAAUAGUUUCUUUUUUAUUUUCUUUUUUUUUCUGAGAGAGGAGAAAACUAUGAUUUGAACUAUAUGAUGUGCAAUACAAAGAAUGUGAAAUAAAAUUAUGUAGCUAGUUAUUCA
rnacentral:lncRNA from 1 species